rnacentral:miRNA from 1 species
CAUUUAAUUUUGAAUUUUGUUGAAAAGCAUACAAUUUUUAGUAUAAAUGGGUACCCUGUAAUAAUUGGGACAUACUUAUACUAAAAAAAAUGAUAUGUUUUCUGGAAUUCAAAAUUAACU